GACCGCUUGGCUAAGUGGUAUAGCGUGUCACAGUAACAUGGGACUCAUCAAGAAUCUCGUAAGCUAAUGCCAUGACAAGAUCAGCGGUUUGAUUCCGCUAGUGGGCA